rnacentral:tRNA from 2 species
GGAAGAAUAGCUCAGAAGGUAGAGCAAACAGUACUAGACGCCUGCUGUUGUGUCCCCGGUUCGAGUCCGGGUUCUUCCCCA